GAUGAACGCUGGCGGCGUGCCUAAUACAUGCAAGUCGAGCGAAUGGAUUAAGAGCUUGCUCUUAUGAAGUUAGCGGCGGACGGGUGAGUAACACGUGGGUAACCUGCCCAUAAGACUGGGAUAACUCCGGGAAACCGGGGCUAAUACCGGAUAACAUUUUGAACCGCAUGGUUCGAAAUUGAAAGGCGGCCUCGGCUGUCACUUAUGGAUGGACCCGCGUCGCAUUAGCUAGUUGGUGAGGUAACGGCUCACCAAGGCAACGAUGCGUAGCCGACCUGAGGGGGUGAUCGGCCACACUGGGACGGAGACACGGCCCAGACUCCUACGGGAGGCAGCAGUAGGGAAUCUUCCGCAAUGGACGAAAGUCUGACGGAGCAACGCCGCGUGAGUGAUGAAGGCUUUCGGGUCGUAAAACUCUGUUGUUAGGGAAGAACAAGUGCUAGUUGAAUAAGCUGGCACCUUGACGGUACCUAACCAGAAAGCCACGGCUAACUACGUGCCAGCCGCCGCCGUAA
rnacentral:rRNA from 1 species